UUUUGGUCCUAAACUUGCCGUUGUUUUUGAUCAAAAUUACACAUGCAAGCAUCCGCAUCCCAGUGAGAAUGCCCUUCUAAAGCACCAAGGAGCAGGUAUCAGGCACAACAGUUUAGCCCAAGACACCUUGCUACGCCACACCCACACGGGCACCCAGCAGUGAUAAAUAUUAAGCAAUGAGUAAAAGCCAACGUAAAGCUCGACUUAGUUAUGAUCACAUUGGGCCGGUAAACCUCGUGCCAGCCACCGCGGUUAUACGAGGGGCCCAAAACAACGGACACCGGCGUAAAUUGUGACUAGAGUAAUCACUUACAGAACUGGAAGAUAAACAAAAACCCAACCGUAAAACCAGGGCUAAAAGAAACCCUCACUCCCAACUAUACAGUGACUUGAACACACGAAGACUAAGGCACAAACUAGGAUUAGAUACCCUACUAUGCUUAGUUGUUAACACGACACCAAAAAACAUUGAUGUCCGCCAGAGAAUUACGCGCGAAAAGCCUAAAACUCAAAGGACUUGGCGGUGCUCCGUAUUCGUCUUAGAGGAGCCUGUCCUAUAAUCGAUACCCCACGUUUUACCUUACCACCUUUUGUCAAAACAGCCUAUAUACCGCCGUCGCAAACUUACCCCAUGAGGGUAGAACAGUAAGUAAAAUAGUAUUACACUAACACGUCAGGUCAAGGUGUAGCUAACAAGAUGGAAGAGAUGGGCUACAUUUUCUAAAACAGAACACACGGCAAAGGGCAUUGAAACUUAUGUCCUAAAAGGCGGAUUUAAUAGUAAGAUGACAAAGAAAAGCCAUCUAAAACUCGCUCCGGAGCGCGCACACACCGCCCGUCACCCUCCUCAACUAA
rnacentral:ncRNA from 1 species